rnacentral:rRNA from 1 species
AUUGAACGCUGGCGGCAGGCCUAACACAUGCAAGUCGAACGGCAGCACAGAAGAGCUUGCUCUUUGGGUGGCGAGUGGCGGACGGGUGAGUAAUGUCUGGGAAACUGCCCGAUGGAGGGGGAUCACUACUGGAAACGGUAGCUAAUACCGCAUAACGUUGCAAGACCAAAGUGGGGGACCUUCGGGCCUCACACCAUCGGAUGUGUCCAGAUGGGAUUAGCUAGUAGGUGGGGUAAUGGCUCACCUAGGCGACGAUCCCUAGCUGGUCUGAGAGGAUGACCAGCCACACUGGGACUGAGACACGGUCCAGACUCCUACGGGAGGCAGCAGUGGGGAAUAUUGCACAAUGGGCGCAAGCCUGAUGCAGCCAUGCCGCGUGUAUGAAGAAGGCCUUCGGGUUGUAAAGUACUUUCAGCGGGGAGGAAGGCGGUGAGGUUAAUAACCUCGCCGAUUGACGUUACCCGCAGAAGAAGCACCGGCUAACUCCGUGCCAGCCGCCGCCGUAA